UUAAAUUUUACGUACAUACACACACACACACACUUAAUAUUAGGAGUAUUAUCAAAUAUUAUUAACAAUUUUAGGCUCAAUUUGAUUGACAGAAACUAUUCCGAUGGCAGAUAUGUUGAAAUCUUUACCCACCGUGUUGGGAGCAUAGGAGCAUCAAGCAGAAGGACAGUGUUUAUUAGAGGGACAAACACCAAACCAUGAGAAGUCUGUAAGAUUGCUGGGAGGAACAUAAAGGCUAACAUUUUUUAAAAGAGAAAUGCAGCAUUUAAGACAAAAGACCUGAACAAAAAAAAAGUGCAUCAAGGUGAUGUCUCCGUUUAUGUAAAGAUUGUAGACUUAAUUUCUCUAAAGCAUCAGUAUAAGUAUAUGAAAUAUGAGGGAAAAAACGAUAAAAACAGAUGGAUGCAAACUUCCGCUGGAUGUGCUCAAGCUUAUUGGCAUCAGUCAAGUUGAUGGAGUUCCAAACUACUGAGGCAUAUUUCAACUUGGACCUGACUAGAGACACGGAAAAUCUGUAGUUCUCGCAGGCAGCACGCAUUUUCAUGGAGUGUGAUGUGGGAGUUCCAUAAUGAAACCUGCCUAAAGCAUUAUAUCAGCUUCCACUUUGGUUGGUCUAAAUCACUCUCAUGUAUGUCUUACAGAAGUGUUAGUAGUUACAAACGUUUGGUAAAGUUUUUGUAUAUAAGUAAAAUGGACUCUCUGUGCUUGCACCUUACCUCUCUUUUGCUAGUUUAUAUCGAAUAAAGUACAUCCAAUGAUAUCUCUUUCCCGAAACUCAUCCUGUAAACUUUGGCUCUCAUAUCUGCAUACAGUAUCAGCAUGUGACAAUUUGGAUUAAUUGACAGUGGGCUUUUCUAAACACCUGGUAACUUGAAAAACUGUUGUCUUCUUAGAUGUGAGGCCUUGUAGACUGGUAGAAUGUUACCAUCACUUUGGAGGAACAUGUAAAGUGAUAAGACCCUGAAGAUGGAGGCCUCAAAUUUGUCAGAAAUGUUGGUAACAUUCUACCAGACUACAUGGUGUCACAUCCCAGAAAACUGAAAUCUUUGUGGUUACAGCCAUAUUCCUAUGCAAGACCUUAGCCGAAGACUUGUUCGCUUAGAGAGUAUACGUUGUAAUUGCACAUGUAGGGAAUACACAGUCAUGAGUAGAUAACAGUUGGUUUUGAUACGUAAGUUGCUGUCUGAUUGCAGAGGUAAUUGUAAGUAUAAAUUAGAUAUGAACUGCUGCAGCUUUAGGGGUGGGGAGGGGGGAAUGUUAAGGCCUUUUUUUUUUAAGGCAUUGGUACAGUUAGGAAUUUCUUGGCAGCUAAUUCCUCAAUCAUCUGACAAGCCACAGUGGACAGUUUAGGCAUUGUAUUGAUGUAGAAUUCUGUAAUACAAGUUUAUGGAAGUAUGACUGCCAUAACUUGGCUAAGGUAAAGACAGAUGGGUUGCAGCAUAGUGAAAGCAAUAUGAAUCACUUCGUUGAAUUGUAACAUAAUCCAUAGAAUGUUUGACAGUUUAGGACUUACACUGUUGCAAGAUAUUUUACAUUAAUUGUAUCCAAAAAUUAUAUACACUGAAGCGAAUAUAAACAUUCUGAUGUAUGUGAGGCUGUUUGGAUGCUUCUGGGUGGGAUAUUUGUAAUUUAUUUUAAUAAAUACUCUUCAGAGUCUGUUA